GGACGGAAAGGCAGGCGAGCGAGCAGGCGGGUCCGCGCCGGUGCCGUGCGGUUUGUUUGCUCUGCUCCCCCGACCUCCUCCCUCCCUCCCUCCUCCGUCGUAGGUGGGGCUUUCAUUUUCCAAAUUGGAAGGGGAAAAGGAUGCCCCCAGCCGCCGGGGAUGGUGCCGGGUCCCCUCCUCUUUCUGCCCGCGGGCCUUUUGCGCGUGGGAGGAGGGCGGCCGCGAUGGACUUGGGCUCGGGGAGGCCUCCUCGCUAAAGGCAGCCGAGCAGAGCCCCGCCAAAGCCCAGACCUCAGUGCGAGCGCUGCUGCUCCGCCUGACGCCGCGUGAUAAAUAAAGCAGGGACUCGGCCGCUUCCUCUCCUCUCUGUCUCUGCGGCAGAUGUGCCUGGGCUCGCCGCGCAGCAGCAGCACGAACAGCAGCAGCAGCAGGAGGGGACUAUGGUGAAAUUCCCGGCGCUCACCAACUACUGGCCGCUCAUCCGCUUCUUGGUCCCUUUGGGCAUCACCAACAUCGCCAUCGACUUCGGCGAGCAGGCCUUGAAUAGAGGUAUCGCAGCUGUUAAGGAAGAUGCUGUGGAAAUGCUAGCCAGCUAUGGGUUGGCCUAUUCCCUCAUGAAGUUUUUCACAGGUCCAAUGAGCGACUUCAAGAAUGUGGGACUCGUGUUUGUCAACAGCAAGAGAGAUAGGACCAAAGCAGUUUUGUGUAUGGUUGUGGCUGGUGCUAUAGCUGCAAUAUUUCACACUUUGAUAGCAUACAGUGACUUGGGGUACUACAUUAUUAACAAGCUGCAUCAUGUGGACGACUCGGUGGGAAGUAAAACACGCAAGGCCUUCCUGUAUCUUGCAGCCUUCCCAUUUAUGGAUGCCAUGGCUUGGACCCAUGCAGGCAUUCUUCUGAAACACAAAUAUAGUUUUCUAGUGGGAUGUGCCUCCAUCUCAGAUGUCAUAGCUCAGGUUGUUUUUGUAGCCAUUCUGCUCCAUAGUCACUUGGAAUGCAGAGAACCUCUCCUUAUCCCCAUAUUAUCCUUGUACAUGGGUGCACUUGUCCGAUGUACCACCCUAUGCCUGGGUUACUACAGAAACAUACACGAUAUCAUACCUGACAGUAGCGGGCCAGAGAUGGGGGGAGAUGCUACAAUCAAAAAGAUGCUAGGCUUCUGGUGGCCCUUGGCGUUAAUUCUCGCCACUCAAAGGAUCAGUCGGCCUAUUGUCAACCUCUUUGUAUCCCGGGAUCUGGGUGGCAGCUCAGCAGCCACAGAGGCAGUGGCAAUUCUGACAGCUACAUAUCCAGUGGGGCAUAUGCCAUAUGGCUGGUUGACAGAGAUUCGAGCUGUUUAUCCUGCUUUUGACAAGAAUAACCCCAGCAAUAAAAUGGUGAACAGCAGCAGUACUGUUUCAUCAACUCAUAUCAAAAAGUUCACCUUUGUCUGCAUGGCCUUAUCCUUAACGCUCUGUUUUGUGAUGUUUUGGACUCCCAACGUGUCAGAGAAGAUCUUAGUAGACAUCAUAGGUGUGGAUUUUGCCUUUGCAGAGCUUUGUGUCAUCCCACUUCGCAUCUUCUCCUUCUUCCCAGUUCCAGUCACUGUAAGAGCACAUUUGACAGGAUGGUUAAUGACGUUAAAAAAGACUUUUGUGCUGGCCCCAAGCUCAGUGCUGCGGAUCAUUGUCCUCAUCACCAGUCUCAUUGUGCUGCCUUAUUUGGGGGUUCAUGGAGCCACCCUGGGAGUAGGAUCACUUCUAGCUGGCUUUGUAGGAGAAUCUACCAUGGUUGCAAUAGCAGCUUGUUAUGUCUAUCAGAAACAGGUGAUUGCCCCUCAUGUAAAAUAUUCUCUGUACAUAGAAUGGUUGGUGUCAGGGGAAAGAGCCUUUCUCACCAAGCUGAACCUUCUCGCUGACAUAUUUGAAGAAGUGCUUGUAUGAAGGAGCAUUCACUCACAUGAGCUUCAGCCUGCUUUCUGAGGCCCCUUCCACACAGAAAAAGAAGAGGAAUGAUAAUGAGACCGCGACGGAAGGUGAAGACUCAGCAAUGACUGACAUGCCUCAAAUAGAGGAAAUGACGGACAUCGUAGAAAUGAGAGAAGAGAAUGAGUGACAAACUGGAACUAUCUGUUCUCUGCAGGGACAACUGGAAGCAUACUUCUUCUCUCAUGAUUCAUUGUUUAUUUUUUUAAUAAAGAGGCCUUGAUUCCAGAGGUUUCAGAUAAUGAAAUCCCUAGCAUACUGAGUAUGCUGGCAUGGAUGAGGGACUUCAAGGAACCGUUCCUGCUUUUCCUCCCUACUUUCAACUGAACUUCUUUUCUCUCUCAGCCCAAGCUGCUACUGCUGCUGCUACACAGUAGAAGAACCUCCCCUUUUGGACAGUCUCCGCUGGCCAACCAAAGCCACUCUGUUUCUUCAAGAAUUCUGCUGCCGUCCUUUCAUCUCCUCCAGUGCUUCCCCCUGCUCCACUGACCCUGAUAUGCCCCGUUCCUCUUUUUAUUAUUAUUAUUGUUAAUUAAAGAUUUAAAAAUGCAACUUUGGGGUGGGGGGAACAUUAGCUUUAUUUUACUUGCUUGAAAAUGACUUUGCUCUCUUGACUUGUACCACGGUGGUCUCUUGAGGUUUUGCUUUCUCAUUGUUUAGUGUAAUAUAUUGUAUACUGCUACUAAACAAAAUACCAAGACAAGAGGUUAAAAAAAAGGAAUAAAUGAUAAAUGGAAUAUAUUAAAUAGACAUUGAUAAACACAUAAUAAGACUUCUGUUUAGAGUUGAUUAUAUCACCUAAGAUAUAAGAAAGGACUCUUUCUAGGGUUAAUCAAAACUGUGAACUGUCACUUCCGCUAUACUAACCAUAUAACAUUUUUCUAAAACCGUGUAUUUAUUUAUCGUGUGAGAAGAAAUUGAGAAUACAACUAUAAUGUAUAAAAAAUCACAAAGUUUAAAACUUGGCAUUAUGCUCAAUUUCCUUUGACCAGAAGCUGGCCACUUGGAGUGCCUCUGAUAUUGCUAUAAGGAGGUCCUCCAUUGAGCAUGUGGCAGGGCUCAGACCACAUUGUAUUAAGUCAGUGGUUCUCAACCUGGAGUCCCCAGAUGUUUGUGGCCUACAAUUCCUAGAAAUCCCAGUAGUUUACCAGCUGUUACGAUUUCUGGGAGUUGAAGGCCAAAAACAUCUGGGGACUUCAGGUUGAGAACCACUGUAUUAAGUGGUCUGUAGUUUUCUCUUCUCCACAUUUGCAUGUUGUGGACUCGACUUUGUAGCCCUAUUUUUGAAGUUUGGCUCUGCAUCUUGUGGUGCCAAAGUGCAGCCUGUUCAGUGUCUUCCAAGUCGCCCAGUCUUUUGUGUGCCCAGGAGGGAGUCUCUCAUCCAGUAUCAGCCAUGGGUUGAGGUUCCAGGUUUUAGCCUGCCACUUUUGGACUCUUGCUUGCUGAGGUGUUUCUACGAGUAUCUCUAGAUCUUAGGAAGCUGUUUCUUGGUUUAAGGCAUUGGCAUGCAGGCUGAUAUCCAAACAGGAUGAGCUGGAGAUGUCAAUGUUUUGGUUUUUUCAUUGCUGACUGUUAAUUCCCAGCGAAUAUCAGGUGGUGUAAUACUGGCUAAACAGUAUAAUUCUUCAGCGAUGUUGGGUGUAGACAUACUGUGAUAAUGCGGCAUGUCUCAUUAAGAGCUACAUCCACUGUUUUAACGUGGUAAGAUGUAUUCCAUACUGGGCGUGCGUUCUCAGCAGCAGAGCAGCAAAAUGCAAGGGCAGAUGUCUUCACCAUUGAAGAUACUGAAAUCAAAAGUGUUACUUGUAAUCCCAACAUUCAGUCAUACUCUUUUAUUUUGGAGGUUUUUGUUCCCAGACAGCAUAUUUUAGUUGAAGUGUCGACAAGCAGCUGUUUCCAGGGUUAUCAAAAGGAAGAUGACUAAAAAUGAAACAAACACCUAAUAGUUAAACUAAAGUUUUACUCCAGUGUUUUAGCAUGGUUGUUUGUGAGCUCUGUUCAAAAAUAUACAUUACAUGCAAGGUUGCACAAAGACUAUCAUGAUAUGUCUCCUUGAGAUACAUAACUCUGUAUAAACUUUGUUUUUUCUCCAGAUUUUUUCAGUAUUGAAUGAUAUAUUAUAGUUUCAAUACAAGAACAGAAGGAAGGAAGGAAGGAAGGAAGGAAGGAAGGAAGGAAGGAAGGAAGGAAGGAAGGAAGGAAGGAAGGAAGGAAGGAAGGAAGGAAGGAAGGAAGGAAGGAAGGAAGGAAGGAAGGAAGGGAGUUCAAUGGGAAAGAACUUCCAGCCAUUAGUUCUCCUGGGAUCAAUAUUUCCCUGUGGUUUGCACAUUGGUGGCUGAAUUACUCAUCACAGAUGACCAAAAUGUUUUGACAUUUCUUUAGGGAAAUUAUAUUUUUAUAUCAACUUUAGAACACUUGAAACAAUUCUAUAUAAUUUUGGACAAAGCCAUUUUCUAGAUUUUGGGAGCAGAUUGCUUAGAUCAGAUGAAAUCUUGCAAUCCUGUUGUCAAUAUAUGUGUAUAUAUACACACACACACAAAUGUGUAUAAAUAUAUAUAUUGUA